rnacentral:rRNA from 1 species
GACGAACGCUGGCGGCGUGCCUAAUACAUGCAAGUAGAACGCUGAAGAGAGGAGCUUGCUCUUCUUGGAUGAGUUGCGAACGGGUGAGUAACGCGUAGGUAACCUGCCUUGUAGCGGGGGAUAACUAUUGGAAACGAUAGCUAAUACCGCAUAACAAUGGAUGACACAUGUCAUUUAUUUGAAAGGGGCAAUUGCUCCACUACAAGAUGGACCUGCGUUGUAUUAGCUAGUAGGUGAGGUAACGGCUCACCUAGGCGACGAUACAUAGCCGACCUGAGAGGGUGAUCGGCCACACUGGGACUGAGACACGGCCCAGACUCCUACGGGAGGCAGCAGUAGGGAAUCUUCGGCAAUGGGGGGCAACCCUGACCGAGCAACGCCGCGUGAGUGAAGAAGGUUUUCGGAUCGUAAAGACUCUGUUGUAAGUCAAGAACGAGUGUGAGAGUGGAAAGUUCACACUGUGACGGUAGCUUACCAGAAAGGGACGGCU